GUUGGCUGUGGAUUGUUUCCUCUAGGUGUGGAGGUAGAAGAAGAGCAUGCAGCCCUGCUUACUUUGAAUUUUUUUUUGCCAAACUAAAAGAAGAAAAUCUCUGAAGAAGCUGAAGUGAGUGGCCUUGAAAGGAUCAAAAUUGGAUUUGGAGCAUUACCACACCCUGCAAAUCUUGACCUUAGCAGUCUCUGAAGACUUUUCACAGUGUUCUUUCACUUCCUACAUUCCUACACUGGAGUGCAAGAUGCUCUCUAGUUUUUGAAAGUCAACCAGUGACUGCUCGUGGAGGUUGGAAGGGACCUUGGAGGGAGUCCGGUCCAACCCCCUGCUCGGAGCGGGGCUAAGGGACAGCGCGUUGCUCGGAGGGGCUGCCGGGACCCAGGGUGACCCAGGGGUGCACGAGCAGGCUCGCCUGUGCAGCUUAUUUCAAGAUCUUUGUGGGGGGAGGGAAAGGAGAACAUCGUCUACACGUUUGGA
rnacentral:lncRNA from 1 species